rnacentral:rRNA from 1 species
GAUGAACGCUGGCGGCGUGCCUAAUACAUGCAAGUCGAGCGAACAGACGAGGAGCUUGCUCCUCUGACGUUAGCGGCGGACGGGUGAGUAACACGUGGAUAACCUACCUAUAAGACUGGGAUAACUUCGGGAAACCGGAGCUAAUACCGGAUAAUAUAUUGAACCGCAUGGUUCAAUAGUGAAAGACGGUGUUGCUGUCACUUAUAGAUGGAUCCGCGCCGCAUUAGCUAGUUGGUAAGGUAACGGGUUACCAAGGCGACGAUGCGUAGCCGACCUGAGAGGGUGAUCGGCCACACGGGAACUGAGACACGGUCCAUACUCCUACGGGACGCAGCAGUAGGGAAUCUUCCGCAAUGGGCGAAAGCCUGACGGAGCAACGCCGCGUGAGUGAUGAAGAUCUUCGGAUCGUAAAACUCUGUUAUUAGGGAAGAACAAAUGUGUAAGUAACUAUGCACGUCUUGACGGUACCUAAUCAGAAAGCCACGGCUAACUACGUG